rnacentral:rRNA from 1 species
CUGAAUAGGGCGCAUAAGUAACAGGUCGUAGACCCGAAACCAGGUGAUCUACCCAUGUCCAGGAUGAAGGUAAGGUAAUACUUACUGGAGGUCCGAACCCACGCACGUUGAAAAGUGCGGGGAUGAGGUGUGGGUAGCGGAGAAAUUCCAAUCGAACUUGGAGAUAGCUGGUUCUCUCCGAAAUAGCUUUAGGGCUAGCCUCGAGGUAAAGAGUCAUGGAGGUAGAGCACUGUUUGGACUAGGGGCCCUUCUCGGGUUACCGAAUUCAGAUAAACUCCGAAUGCCAUGUACUUAUACUCGGGAGUCAGACUGCGAGUGAUAAGAUCCGUAGUCGAAAGGGAAACAGCCCAGACCACCAGUUAAGGUCCCCAAAUAUAUGUUAAGUGGAAAAGGAUGUGGGGUUGCUUAGACAACCAGG